UUCCUACGGGGGGCAGCAGUGGGGAAUAUUGCACAAUGGGGGGAACCCUGAUGCAGCGACGCCGCGUGAAGGAAGAAGUAUUUCGGUAUGUAAACUUCUAUCAGCAGGGAAGAAAAAGGACGGUACCUGACCAAGAAGCCCCGGCUAAAUACGUGCCAGCAGCCGCGGUAAUACGUAUGGGGCAAGCGUUAUCCGGAUUUACUGGGUGUAAAGGGAGCGUAGGCGGCAGGGCAAGCCUGAUGUGAAAGCCCGGGGCUCAACCCCGGGACUGCAUUGGGAACUGCCCUGCUGGAGUGCCGGAGGGG
rnacentral:rRNA from 1 species